GCGUCCAGUCGUCCAGCGGCCUAGGACUCCCCCUUUCCGGGGGCAACCCCGGUUCGAAUCCGGGCAGACGCA
rnacentral:tRNA from 1 species